GCAAAGAUUGGCCACUUUCUUGGCUAUUCCCUGAGGCUGGGGGGGAGAGAGGCUGCAGAGCUUGAAACUGAGGUGCUCGGAUAACUCAUGGCGAGGAGGGCCACGGACCGUCUCGGUGAGUCUCCGGAGCAACUUGCGGAUGACAUGACGUGAUCCCGCCCGGCAAUGGAAGCCGAGCUGCAAAUUGAGAAGCGAGCCACAUAAAAUAUUUUUAACUGUUUGUAAAUUUGAGGGGAUUAAGCUCCGUGUCUGAGACGAGGAACGGACGUGCGCAGCAGAGACCCGGAGCACGAGAAGGUUUCGGAGGCUGGCAUUGCAAGUGCAUCCAACGGGUUUACUGAGAACAGGAUGAUAAAUCUGUUUUGGCUGCUGGGAGCUGCAGAGCCGGUUUUCACGCUGGCUCUCAUCACUGUAGUAUUGGAAACAUCCAUAAGCGAUGGAAAAUCCUAACCGCGAGAUCUUGACUUCUUGGAGAAUGAAAGGGCAGCUGAGCCUGGGCGAGGAUCUGUUAAUGAUGAUCCAGCAGGGCCCUUUUCAAAGUUGUCCCCUCUUUGAGCAUCUCCGGCCUGACUGAUCCUGGUGAAGCUGAUGGGUUUUUACCGUGGGGGCCAGCCCUUGCUUCUCUUGCUGCCAUCCCUCUGUCUCCGAGUGUAAGCCCGGGGGGCACCAGGCUUGGGCUCUUCUGCGCACCUCCAGCACCUGGGACUGAGCCUUGCUCUUUCAAGAAGCAAUACAGGGUGGAUUCAAGCGACUUGUUUUGAACAGGCCGUGGCAUGGACUGUCUGGGCAGCGCAGGUUUUUAGGGAGGAGACUGUUCGGUGGGAAGUCCUCCACGAAGCUGCCCGACAGUUCUCUGUCCCAGGAGGAGCGAGAAUAACAGGGAGGCCCGGCUGGUAUAGUGCCUUCUCCAUGUGGUCCAAGCUCCUCUUCCUGGUGGCACAUCGCAACCAGAGCCCUUGUGAGCCCUCGCUGCACCCCCAGCCCUCCUCUCUGCCUGCUUGCCAUCAGCACCAGCAUGGACGGAGCAUUUGCUAGUCACCUGCAGCUGCAGAAGAAACUCCAGAAGUGUCCCCAGGACCUACCAAAAUGGAAGUUGACUAGGAAAGCUCUGUGCACACCUAGGGCACUAUAGGAGUCCUUAAUUAUGAGUAGGCAGGUCAGUUUGAGUCACCUUCCCUUUUUAGCCCAGCCACCUUGGAGGGGCCCCUUGAGGCAUCCUAAUUGCUAACAGGAGCCUUCCCCGUGGAUGGGAAUUGCCCAGGGGGAUUGCAAGGGGGGGGGUGGCGUCUGUAUUCCUCAGCCC